AAUUCUCUGAGAUGUUUGCAAGCGGGCCAGUCCCCUGAGCCGAUAUUUCAUACCACAAGAAUGUGGCGCUCCACGGUUGGUGAGCAUGCUCGGUUCGUCCGAGAAGCCUUAAAACUGUGACGACACAUUCACCUUGAACCAAGGGUUCAAGGGUUACAGCCUGCGGCGGCAUCUCGGAGAUUCC
rnacentral:other from 1 species